GGUCCCAUGUAAGCUCAGUGGCAGAGCAAGGCAUCAGCACUGCCGGGGAUGGGGGUUCGAUUUCCCUGUGGAGCGCA